AGUGCGCCGGUGUUAUGGGGGAAAAACAUAAGAAAGCGUGCAAGAAAAGUUUCUGGUGAUACACGUAUAAAAGAGACGCGGCGUUCAGGGGAAGGAUUACAGGCAAAAAAAGAGAAAGCGAUCGACGGCGAGGACAAACACGGAUAACAAUUGGUGAAGCUUUUCCUCGCUGGAGAGCGCUGAAAGAACAGGAGGGACUGAGAGCAGACAGGGAACUAGCGUUACUGCUCUUGGACAGGCCACUGGAAAACAAGAGUGCGGCGUGGUCUUUCUGCUGUGUGGGAACUACUUUUUCCUCCGCGCUGACGAGAAACCAGACAAGAGGACUGCAGUGAAGUUGGGUUUAAAUUGUCUGACGCUGUGACUCGCGGAUGCGCAACGUCUGUCGUUGAUGAAAGUAUGAAUGUCUUUUAGAAGUCUGUUCCACAUUUUAUUUGCUACUGCCUCAUGCAGCUGAUUUGUGGAUAAGUUGUUUUUGUUUUAAGGUGCACAAUAGGUGGUUUAAUAAAUGGAGUAGCGUUGCAUGACGGUUAAAAAGCACUACUUUACUCCAGUGAAUCACAAAUGCUAAUUUUAUUCCUGCAAGAUUUAAUAAAAAUAUGUAGCCUA